AUGAGCUUCACAUCUCAGACCCUGACUGGAACAGUCAGCACCAUUAAGUUCUUUCUCUCUGAGGCCUUCCUUGGUCAGCACUUUGAGGCUGUGGAGUUGGAGGCAAGCGAGCCUGAGCCUGGAGACCUUUUCCUGUUCAGGCUGCUGACUCCCAUGGGACGCUGGUGCGGGGCCCACGUGGGCGUGUACUGUGGCCAUGGAGAGAUCAUCCACUUCGAGGGCAAGAUUCCCAGCAGCCGUGGGCCGAGCCCAAUAUUGGGCUCCUGGGAAGGUGUGGUGUGCAAACAGGGGCAGCGGCAGCUGCUGCGCUCCCGCCCACUGUGGCGCGUGCUGCGGAAACGCAGCGGUGUGGACCACUUGGGGUUGCAACGCCGUGUGCGCGAGGCCAUGGACGCAGACGCCCCUGCUUAUCACCCCACACGGUACAACUGUGUACACUUUGCGCUGCGUCUGCUGGACCCGGACAGGAGCCCCGGCUUGGUGAGUGGAGCCUCGGAGAGCCCCACCCCGCUAACAAACACCCUUACCGAGCGCCCUCCUGUAGCACCGGAGACUUCCCACCCCACUCCACCACAGUCAUGCUCCUCAAACUCAGUAUCUGCUUUGUUCUGCCUAGCCCAGAGCCCCCAGAACCGACAGCCUGUCCACUCGAGGGUUCACCUCUCCGAAAGCCCCCCGGGCAGUCCUGAGCUUGCAGAUCCUGGCCAUAGACAUGUCCUUCCGUUUGACAACCUGCCAGCUAGGUCCUGGGCCAGCCCCAUCAUUAGUGUGCCUGGAACAGAACUUACAGAGCCUAGCUCAGCCAUUCUGGGUCCCACCCAUUGCCAGGCAGGCCCACCAGUUCUGGCCAGGAAGCCUUCAGGAUCCUACUCCAUAGAUUGAAACUUGGUCCCCAGGGCCCAAACAAGGGGCUCUUUCACUCCCCUAGCCCAGCCAAGAGACUGCAGUCCCCAGCUCUGCUGGCUGCUCGUUCUGAUCCAGGCCUUCCUCAUUUGGGCCUUAGCGAACCUCUGGCCUUCGGAGCUGACCUGAAUGCAUCACAUUAGCCAGGAGUCCUGGCCUUGCGCCCACCCUGACCCGGUCUCUUUCUCUUCCUUCCCAGGUGAUGACUGACCUGGAGCUAACCAUGGAAUAGGCUGACUUUGGGCCCUCCUGGGUGGGCAGGAAGGAUCUUCAGAAAAGAUCGUUAGGGCCGGGGAUUUAGCUCAGUGGUCCCGCCGCCUGCCUGAAAAGCAGAAGGUCCCGAGUUCGAUCCCCGAUACCAAAAACAAAAGAAAAAGAAAGAAAAGAUCAUUAAAGUAUUUCCAAAGCUCCAUUAGGAGGCUCACUGUUCUCUAACCUUUCCCCCACCUCUCUGCCCGAAGCUCUCUAAGGCUUCCUUGGUGCUACUGGACCACCCUGCCCUUAAAUUCCACCUCCCCGGAGGGGCUUGAGGGGGGUGGGGUGGGAUAAAAUUAAAUUUAUUAAUAAAAAAUUGAAAUUCUGCCUCCCCAAGAAGCCGCUCAGCUUCCCAUUUGAACACCAGGACGCCGCUCUCAGUGGGACCUAGAUUUACGCAACCUUGCGUCUUUGACUGGUCUUCGGGUGCGCUGUCCCCCUACCCCCUUCCCCUCCACUAUGUGGACGUCGCGCCCAGGCCCGGUGGUCUGACUGGGGUAGGACUGGAGGUCCUCGCCCCCAGACUUAGAGGGGCGCCAAGUCCCUUUAAAGGGCAGGAACUAUUCUCUGGGUUUCUGGGGGACGGGGCGGGGCUGACGUCUCCGCGGGUCCCCGCCCGCCCCUGCAGCACGCGUGCGCUCCUGG
rnacentral:lncRNA from 1 species